ensembl:lncRNA
ACUAUCCACAUUUCUUUAAUGUAAGUCAAAGCCCAUUACAAUGCAUCCUGUUACAAUGGAAAUCUCAUUUUUGGAAGUCCACUUAUUAUUUUGAGGAACAUUAUAUACAACCCAACAGAUAAACAGAUACAAUAAUUGACAACUUGUUGAAAUGUUAGAGCUAAACCACAAAGAGUAACUGAGUAAUGCUGUGCUCAACAUUAGAUGAUCUAUAAAAUUCAACUGGCAAAGGGAGAUCAAAUUGUGCUUUAUCUUGAGCUUGAAUUGGAUGACAAGGAGAUUAGGAAAUCCUAAGUGGAAAAAUAUUCAAAUCAUUGUGCUUUCUAUAUAUUUUUCUUACUACCUAUUUCCAGUUAUAAAUCUUACAUCUGUGCCUCUGCAUACCAUUUAAGUACAAUACUAAACAUUCUUUAAAAUCAUUUUCUACUAACUACAAAAGGUACACUCAGAUAACUGUAAAAGCAUCUGCUUUUAGAAGAAAAGCAUCAAAUAUUCAGGGAACUUUAUUUUUAAAGAAUAAAUCAAAUAAGACACAGCUUUCGUUUACCCAAACAUGCAUAAUCCGACCUAAAUAUAAAAUGCACUUAAUUGGUAAAUUACACAUGAAAUACAAAGGGAACGCAAUUUUACAUAUGUAAAAUGAUUGCCAGCUAUAGCAAUUUAACAGUCAAAUUUAUCAGAACAUUGUACAUUAAAAAACAAAAACAACUUAAAGCCAAUUAUCUAUAGUAAACCAAGGAAAAUUCUGAUACGGAAUGGUUUGACUCAAAGCAAAGAAUAAGGCACCUGCUAUGAAUUUAGCGCAACCAUAAAACAGAAUUAGUUAACCAAGAUACUUGUUUCAAAAAGGGAAACAAGUACAGAAAUUGAUAACUGGGUGAGAAAGGCAAGUAACAAUUUAGUUAAAAACCUGCUGGCCCAAGGUCAGUUGAUUAAUUUCUUAUUCCAGAAUAGUUAAGUUCCUGAAAGUCCUUAACCACUCCACUCCCUUACUGCUCUCCACGUUUGAGGGUAUCAGAAGCCCUCUAUGAGGUUCACACUGUGUAUAGACUAGGUAGCAGAUUUCCCUUCUGUUCCUCUUAAAACAGCUUAUUUUAAAAGAAAUAUCCUGAGGCAAUUAACAAAGCAAACACAAGCAGCUUUCUUUCCAACGCAUUAAUACAUAGACACUGCUCAGGUUUUUAUUCACCAAGUUAUGGCUAAGUAUACAAACAGCCAGUACUUGCAGUUUUCAACAGUACUAGAAAACCCAAAACCUGCCCUAUCACCCUCACCCUUACCAUUAGUAAAACGUAAAUCUGAUCAAUCAUAACCUAUAAAAUCAUAUAACAAAGGGAAGACUAAAGACUGAUCAUUAUCAGUAAAUCCAUUCAAUUCCAGAUGCCACUUUAGGCUGAUGUGUCUAGGACCCUAACGGCAUUUCAAUCAUUAAUCUAGAAAAGCAUUUCCAAACUAAGGAUAACUUUGUAGUUGAUGUGCCUUUUUUUGCUAUUAAAAGUGCUAUUUAACAUGCUAAAAUAAAAUAUCUUAUGGCACAUUGGACUCAACAGCAUGUUCUAAUGAGGCAUCCAUGUUUAGUAGUAUUUUUCCCUAGAAUUUUGUUUGGCACAGUAAACCCCUUUGAUACAUUAAAAUAAUUCUGGUGAAAUCAAUGUAACAUAAUAAAUGUAACAUAAACAAACCUUCCCUGAUUGACUUCACUCCACCACGGCAGCUUUUAAUGAAACCACAGUAACUGAUUAGGUCAGAAAAUGAUCAAGUUUUUUCUAUGGCAUCUUGGGUUACUAUACUCACUCAUGCAAAAUCCAAGGUAGUGUAAUGGAAACAAUAUUGGUAAAAUAGAUGUUGUGGCUACAAGCAUCUCCCUUUAUAUUAGACAUUUAGAAGCUUUUAAAAAGUUUUGGAUGCUAAAGGUUGUGGCAAAACUAGGCUGUGUAGUUGUUCGAUUUAUAAGCACCUUAUUACAGGACAGUUACAUGAACCUAUAAGGGUGUGUGCUUUCAGUUCAAGAGUAAUAAAGUGCCUAGCUAUAUAAAAACCACAAGACUUCAAAUUGUAAUUUAAGCUAACUGCAUUUAUACAUUAGGGUUAACAAAAUCUAGACCCUGUCUAUGCAGACUUAGACUAAUUAUUCAU